rnacentral:rRNA from 1 species
AUUGAACGCUGGCGGCAUGCUUACACAUGCAAGUCGAACGGUAACAGGCCGCAAGGUGCUGACGAGUGGCGAACGGGUGAGUAAUGCAUCGGAACGUGCCCAAUCGGGGGGGAUAACGCAGCGAAAGCUGAGCUAAUACCGCAUACGAUCUAUGGAUGAAAGCGGGGGCCCGUAAGGCCUCGCGCGAUUGGAGCGGCCGAUGGCAGAUUAGGUAGUUGGUGGGGUAAAGGCUCACCAAGCCAACGAUCUGUAGCUGGUCUGAGAGGACGACCAGCCACACUGGGACUGAGACACGGCCCAGACUCCUACGGGAGGCAGCAGUGGGGAAUUUUGGACAAUGGGCGCAAGCCUGAUCCAGCAAUGCCGCGUGCAGGAAGAAGGCCUUCGGGUUGUAAACUGCUUUUGUACGGAACGAAAAGGUUUGGGUCAAUACCCUGGGCCGAUGACGGUACCGUAAGAAUAAGCACCGGCUAACUACGUGCCAGCAGCCGCCGUAA